rnacentral:rRNA from 1 species
GACGAACGCUGGCGGCGUGCUUAACACAUGCAAGUCGAACGGGAACCUUUAUUUCGGUAAAGGUGAGAGUGGCAAACGGGUGAGUAACACGUAGGCAACCUGCCGACAGGAUGGGGACAACAUUCCGAAAGGAAUGCUAAUACCGAAUGGAGUCCGGAGAUGGCAUCAUCUCUGGAUAAAAGAUGGCCUCUGAAUAUGCUAUCGCCUGUCGAUGGGCCUGCGUCUGAUUAGCCAGUUGGCGGGGUAACGGCCCACCAAAGCGACGAUCAGUAGCCGGUCUGAGAGGAUGAACGGCCACAUUGGGACUGAGACACGGCCCAGACUCCUACGGGAGGCAGCAGUGGGGAAUCUUCCACAAUGGGCGAAAGCCUGAUGGAGCAACGCCGCGUGAGUGAAGAAGGUCUUCGGAUCGUAAAGCUCUGUUGCACGGGACGAAAACCGAGCUUGAAAAUAUUGAGCUUGGGUGACG